CCACCCCAACAACUGCCGACUACAUACAUCUUGUGCAGAAAAAACAACCUGCAUCUGACAAUGGAUCCAGAAGUUGGCAUUCAAACUUGCAAAGCUUGGUUGUUCCAUCAAAACAACGGCUGUGAUGGAUGCAUCUGUUAGGGGGUCUGUGUAAUCGACCAUUUCAAAGGUUCUGACCAAACCUGAACCCUGAGAAAGAAGCAGGGGGGUUGGCCUCCUCUGUUUUCGUCCCCUGUCCACACCGCCGUCUCCUCAAACCUCCUCUGUUUUCCUGCCCCUCCUACUUGCUAGUUACUGGAGUACAUGAUCUGAAUUGAUCCUUGUACAGGGUACAUUGUUUGUUAGCUGCGCCUAGCUAGGUACACAACUUCGUAUCCUGCAGUCUUUUUUCAACAUAA